rnacentral:rRNA from 1 species
GCUCAGGAUGAACGCUAGCUACAGGCUUAACACAUGCAAGUCGAGGGGCAUCAGGAAGAAAGCUUGCUUUCUUUGCUGGCGACCGGCGCACGGGUGAGUAACACGUAUCCAACCUGCCCUUUACUCGGGGAUAGCCUUUCGAAAGAAAGAUUAAUACCCGAUAGCAUAAUGAUUCCGCAUGGUUUCAUUAUUAAAGGAUUCCGGUAAAGGAUGGGGAUGCGUUCCAUUAGGUUGUUGGUGAGGUAACGGCCCACCAAGCCUUCGAUGGAUAGGGGUUCUGAGAGGAAGGUCCCCCACAUUGGAACUGAGACACGGUCCAAACUCCUACGGGAGGCAGCAGUGAGGAAUAUUGGUCAAUGGGCGCUAGCCUGAACCAGCCAAGUAGCGUGAAGGAUGAAGGCUCUAUGGGUCGUAAACUUCUUUUAUAUAAGAAUAAAGUGCAGUAUGUAUACUGUUUUGUAUGUAUUAUAUGAAUAAGGAUCGGCUAACUCCGUGCCAGCAGCCGCGGUAAUACGGAGGAUCCGAGCGUUAUCCGGAUUUAUUGGGUUUAAAGGGAGCGUAGGUGGACUGGUAAGUCAGUUGUGAAAGUUUGCGGCUCAACCGUAAAAUUGCAGUUGAUACUGUCAGUCUUGAGUACAGUAGAGGUGGGCGGAAUUCGUGGUGUAGCGGUGAAAUGCUUAGAUAUCACGAAGAACUCCGAUUGCGAAGGCAGCUCACUGGACUGCAACUGACACUGAUGCUCGAAAGUGUGGGUAUCAAACAGGAUUAGAUACCCUGGUAGUCCACACAGUAAACGAUGAAUACUCGCUGUUUGCGAUAUACAGUAAGCGGCCAAGCGAAAGCAUUAAGUAUUCCACCUGGGGAGUACGCCGGCAACGGUGAAACUCAAAGGAAUUGACGGGGGCCCGCACAAGCGGAGGAACAUGUGGUUUAAUUCGAUGAUACGCGAGGAACCUUACCCGGGCUUAAAUUGCAGUGGAAUGAUGUGGAAACAUGUCAGUGAGCAAUCACCGCUGUGAAGGUGCUGCAUGGUUGUCGUCAGCUCGUGCCGUGAGGUGUCGGCUUAAGUGCCAUAACGAGCGCAACCCUUAUCUUUAGUUACUAACAGGUUAUGCUGAGGACUCUAGAGAGACUGCCGUCGUAAGAUGUGAGGAAGGUGGGGAUGACGUCAAAUCAGCACGGCCCUUACGUCCGGGGCUACACACGUGUUACAAUGGGGGGUACAGAAGGCAGCUAGCGGGUGACCGUAUGCUAAUCCCAAAAUCCUCUCUCAGUUCGGAUCGAAGUCUGCAACCCGACUUCGUGAAGCUGGAUUCGCUAGUAAUCGCGCAUCAGCCACGGCGCGGUGAAUACGUUCCCGGGCCUUGUACACACCGCCCGUCAAGCCAUGGGAGCCGGGGGUACCUGAAGUACGUAACCGCAAGGAUCGUCCUAGGGUAAAACUGG